AGUGAACGCUGGCGGUAGGCCUAACACAUGCAAGUCGAACGGCAGCACAGUAAGAGCUUGCUCUUACGGGUGGCGAGUGGCGGACGGGUGAGGAAUACAUCGGAAUCUACUUUUUCGUGGGGGAUAACGUAGGGAAACUUACGCUAAUACCGCAUACGACCUACGGGUGAAAGCAGGGGAUCUUCGGACCUUGCGCGAUUGAAUGAGCCGAUGUCGGAUUAGCUAGUUGGCGGGGUAAAGGCCCACCAAGGCGACGAUCCGUAGCUGGUCUGAGAGGAUGAUCGGCCACCCUGGAACUGAGACACGGUCCAGGCUCCUACGGGAGGCAGCAGUGGGGAAUAUUGGACAAUGGGCGCAAGCCUGAUCCAGCCAUACCGAGUGGGUGAAGAAGGCCUUCGGGUUGUAAAGACGUUUUGUUGGGAAAGAAAAGCAGCAGGUUAAUACCCCGCUGUUCUGACGGUACCCAAAGAAUAAGCACCGGCUAACUUCGUG
rnacentral:rRNA from 1 species